UACGUAGGGUGCGAGCGUUGUCCGGAAUUAUUGGGCGUAAAGAGCUCGUAGGCGGUCUGUUGCGUCCGCUGUGAAAACUCGGGGCUUAACCCCGAGCCUGCAGUGGAUACGGGCAGACUAGAGGUAGGUAGGGGAGAAUGGAAUUCCCGGUGUAGCGGUGAAAUGCGCAGAUAUCGGGAGGAACACCGGUGGCGAAGGCGGCAUCCUGGACCGGCAUUGACGCUGAGGCGCGAAAGCCAGGGGAGCAAACGGG
rnacentral:rRNA from 1 species